rnacentral:rRNA from 1 species
UACGUAGGUGGCAAGCGUUGUCCGGAUUUACUGGGCGUAAAGGGCGCGCAGGCUGUUAUGCGAGUCUGCUGUGAAAUGUACCGGCUCAACCGCUGCCUUGCGGCGGAUACUGCAUAGCUGGAGUACUGGAGAGGGAAGUGGAAUUCCCGGUGUAGCGGUGAAAUGCGUAGAUAUCGGGAGGAACGCCAGUGGCGAAGGCGGCUUUCUGGCCAGUUACUGACGCUCAUGCGCGAAAGCUGGGGUAGCGAACCGGAUUA